rnacentral:lncRNA from 1 species
GCCUACUUUUAUGCUUUGUAUUUUGUUUUGGAAGUUUGCAAAUAGCAACAAAUAUCAAGUCAAUUUGUCAAAACCUUUUGGAGAUGCUCUUAGUUGUAUGUUUUGCACGUGACUAUGCAUGAGCCUCCUUUCUUGGUCAUGUAAUCAUGUUCCUCGGCAAUCACCCAGCCCUGCAGUAGUAGUACACUUCUUCUGUAGCGAACACGGCCCCUAAGGUCUUGUUUAGUUGGCAAAAAUUUUGGUUUUUGGCUAUUGUAGCAUUUUUGUUUUUAUUUGACAAACGUUGUCCAAUCACGGAGUAACUAGGCUUAAAAGAUUUAUCUCACAAAUUACAGGUAAACUGUGCAAUUAAUUUUUGUUUUUAUCUAUAUUUAAUGCUCCAUGCAUGCGAUCAAAGAUUCGAUGUGAUAGAGAAUCUUGAAAAUUUUUACGAACUAAACAAGGCCUAAAUUAAACCAUGAUUCAUAGUGGUAUAUUUCCUUUUACCGUACUGCAAUGAAAUGACAUACACCAUACUGAACACUCUGAGUAUUUUUUUUUUCUUUACCAUAGGGUCACUAGUACAUGCUCCCUCCAUCCAUAUGUCAUAAUUAUGAGUUUCAAGCAAGUUAAACUUUUCUAAUUUUGACCAUCUAUACUUAAAAAGAGUAAUGAUAUGGUUCCAUUUACUUGCUAAGAGAUAAUACCUUAAACGAAUUUAGAUCAUUUUAAAAUUUUAUGAAAUAAAUAACCUAGGUAAGAAAAGAAAAAAAGAAUAUUCCUAAAUCUCCUCCUCACGGAGAGAAAAAGAAGCGGGACUGCGGACCUUCCAUGUUCGUGUGAGUGCGGCCGUUCUGGUUCGUGCAGCCGAGCUACCUGUGGACCAAGGUUAAAUUUAAUCAUCAAUAUCAAAUAUCCACUCUAUAUCUAUAUCUAUAUCGAUAUCGAUAUCUAUAUCGAUAUCUAUAUCUAUAUCUAUAUCUAAUAAUAAUAUUAAAAAAAUUUCUGUCACUUUUAGAUUUUAGUCCAACCUAAAAUCAUUACGUUCAUGUUGUAUUCGUGUUUUUUUUUCGUUUCCAUCUUUGUUUUUACUCCCGCUGCUUUCUCUCUUUUUUUUCCUUAUAUACCGCUUAUGGGCCCGUACGUGGGGUCUCGGUGAAUGUGGCGCCUCCACCCCCCCACGGUGAUUUCCAUUCAUUCUUUUUGUUAUUCUUUCUACGUUUUUUAUUUUUUUUGGUUUUAGUUUUCUGAUGAAGUAACUCUGGUUUUCUCUUUGAAACUUUGAUCCGUACUUAACAAAUAAACACUUUGAUUACUAAGUUGUUAGUUUCAAAUAGGAAUAAAUUAUGACAUGAAUUAGCCGAUGGCUUAACUACUUAUUAAAUUGUAAAUUAAUAUUGAGCAAUUUUUCAUCCAAUUUAAUUAAAAUAAAUGUUUCUUCAAGAUGUUCACACAUAACAAUGCAAAUAUCUAUGUUUUCGUCCGCGAGUUCGCCGUCCCAGUCGCUCGCCCGUUCCACGAGUUCGCCAUCACAGCCACAUGGUCGCCGUGACUUCACCUUCGUAGCCACCCUGUCGUUCGCUAGUUCGCCGCCGCAACUGCCCUUUCAUCCCCUCCCGUAGCCGCCAAGCCACCGCUUAGACACUGGCAAUUGUUGUUGAUGUGCGACCGUGGUGUUGGAAGUGGGGACGGGUGCUGCUACCGUACUAGGGCCAUCCGCCAUGAUUGGAUCUUGUAACACUCAAAAUUUGGCUCUUUUAAAAAUAGAUGAAUUUGACUUUAUUAAUUAAUUUUGUGAGCAUUUUCAAUAUAGGAAAAUAAAUAAAUUUGGAGAAAAUAAAAUUAAAUAUAAGUUAGGCCAAUACUUUGUUGCAUACAUGCUGGUGCAUUUAUUUAUGUGAUGAGUGGAUUUAAAGAAAAGAUGUUUGAAUUCAAAAACUCAUUUGGAAAAGAGUUUGAAAAUUUUGUUUGGAAAAUAAAAAGGAAAAGCUUUUCUCUCUUCCCUCCCCUUCUCUCGGCCAUUUUGGCCCAAAACCCGCGCGCCCCCUUUCCCCUUCUUGGGCCUCGCCCAGCCGAUCCCCUCUCUCCCCCCU